rnacentral:tRNA from 1 species
AGUGUUGUGGCUCAGUGGUAGAGUGCUUGCCUAGCAUGCAUGACGCACUGGGUUCGGUCCCAACACUA